UGAAUGAGGGUUCCCCUCCAGCACUACCAGAGGUGAUUGAGUCAUUACCAACAGUUAAACUGACUCUGGAAAAAGUGGCUCUUAAGUUAUGCUGUCCAACAUGUCAGUGCCAGUUUGAAGAGGGUGAGGCAUUUAUGGAGUUGCCGUGCACACAUGGAUUCCACCCUUCCUGCGUAACAACUUGGCUAAAAAUGGCACUAGUCAGGAUCGGAGUUUAAAAAAGCAAGUUUGAAAAAGAAAGCAGCACGUUUUAAUUAAAUCUUUUUUGAUGCAGGGUUCCAGAUAAGUUUUCAAGGCAAGUUGUCAACAAGGAAUUCCAACAGGUCAAUUCCCACUGCUCCCACCAAACAUUAUAAAUAUCAUAUUAAUUUUCAAGUCAUGUAGCUGAUCUUGCUUGGUUUUUUUAUCCAAGACCCCUCGCUUGUCUGGAACACUGAUGGACUUUACUGUCGUCAGCUUUGACUGUAUUUGAAAAGCUAUUUGAAUUUUUUACAAAUUAAUGAACAAAUGAGCUAACUGGUGAUGAAAGAAUAGGACUGAGCAGUUUGCAAUUUCUGUAAUGCUGAGCAAUUGUGCUUGGUCAAUGUAGAACAUAAUACUUGAAGUAGCUUAAACAGGAAGUUCUGCUGUAAAAGGGAUGGUAGUUCCCAAAUUGAACACCUUUGGGCAUGUAAUGCAAAUUUAAACCUUUGUUAGUGCUAGCCCGUUCUUGACUCGAGCAUUUGCUUCAAUGAACCUUCUAAAAACCAAAUUACUGUAUGAUCACCUACAAUUUUCCUUGAACAAGAACUAAGUCCCAACAUGAAGCUCGUUUUAAGCCACUGAAGGGGUGAAUGGCGGAACUUCCUCGUUAAAGAUCUUGUAAAAAGUUAUUUCAUAGAAGAAGAAGUUACAUUAUGGCGGGAAUACAGUCGAACCUCCAUUAAGCAGUCAGUUACCAAAUUCUCGAAAGCCGCUCCACAUUCUUACUGUAAACUUGCCCUCUGUUAAGUGGCCACCCUCUAUUAAACGGACGCGGUCACCGUUUAGAAUUCCCAGUUUGAUAAUUUUUUCUAUUUCACCUCUAUUUAACGGUCACCUAGUGAAAUUUCAGUGCGAUAUUGUGACUUGCCUCGCGAAAUUAAACUAGGCGACCCUAAAAAACAGACAAUUCCAACCUUUUUUUGUUUCAUCUUGAAUGUUAUGGCAAACUGUUGAUGAUGUUACUGACAACAUAUCAUAUUUGGCGAUAUUGUUGUUAUGGACCUAUUUUGCAUUCUGUUCAAUUUUUGCCAUACUACAUGCUAUAUUUUAGAAAAAGUCGUCAGCUGGCUAUUUCCCGAGGGUGACCGCUUCAUUAAUAGAGGUUUGACUGUAAUUAUCUUUGUCUAACAUAACAUUGUACUUGGAAUUGAUUGUGAUUAGUUUUAAAUUUUUUACUGUAUUUUACCUUAGUUACUGAGGACCUCCCUGAAAACCCCGCAAUGUGACAGCAGCUUCGAUUCCACCAUAAAGAUUAUAAUUAUUAUUAUUAUCGUCAUCGUCGUCGUCGUCGUUAUUGUUAUUAUUAUUAUUGUUAUUGUUACUGUCAGCACAAUGAAAGACUUAACUUAUGGCUACUCUUCAUGACGAUGUUUUCGUUUCACAAGUUUCUCCAUUCUUAAACGUCUUUCUUGAUCAAUCGAACUUAUUAGAGCGAUUUUCAUUUGAUCUUAAAGGAGCUCAGUCACGGUAUUUUGAGUUAUUCUGGCCACAUACAAAAUUACC